GAUGAAGAACGCAGCGAAAUGCGAUAAGUAAUGUGAAUUGCAGAAUUCAGUGAAUCAUCGAAUCUUUGAACGCACAUUGUGCCCGCCAGUAUUCUGGCGGGCAUGCCUGUUCGAGCGUCAUUUCAACCAUCAAGCCCCGGGCUUGUGUUGGGGACCUGCGGCUGCCGCAGGCCCUGAAAUGCAGUGGCGGGCUCGCUGUCACUCCGAGCGUAGUAGUUACAUCUCGCUCUGGGCGUGCUGCGGGUUCCGGCCGUUAAAAGCCUUAUUUACCCAAGGUUGACCUCGGAUCAGGUAGGAAGACCCGCUGAACUUAAGCAUAUCAAUAAGCGGAGGA
rnacentral:misc_RNA from 1 species